rnacentral:ncRNA from 2 species
UGAUGCUCGGCCAGCGAUGGUUCCCCGCGAGGGGAUCAAAAGGGAACACGGUGCGGCCCGUUCGGGCCAAGGCCGUGGCUGCCCCCGCAACUGUCAGCGGCGAGUCCGCGCCCCCUCAUGACGCCACUGGUCCGCGCCGGACCGGGAAGGCCGGGCGCCCGACCCCGACCCGCGAGCCAGGAGACCUGCCAUCGAGACACCGAUCGC